AGAUUUGAAAUUUGAUUUCUAAACACUUCAAGUGGUAUAGAUCAUGUUCAACGGAGCCGAUCGUCAAUUUGGAAGCUCUAUCAUCGAAAACAAAUAGGUAGUAAAACGGCUCGUUUACUACUGAUAGUAUUCUAGCAAAACUCUAUAUAUAUAUAUAUAUUGAUGUCGCAAAGAUUUGAAAUUUGAUUUCUAAACACUUCAAGUGGUAUAGAUCAUGUUCAACGGAGCCGAUCGUCAAUUUGGAAGCUCUAUCAUCGAAAACAAAUAGGUAGUAAAACGACUCGUUUACUACUGAUAGUAUUCUAGCAAAACUCUAUAUAUAUAUAUAUAUAUAUAUAAAAUUGAGCUCCUAUGUUUUUAAAAGUACCAAAUUAUUGGUGCUUGUAGAUUUUUAGCCAUUGGAUUAAGAGAUAUGCGGUUAGGAUGAUGUGGGCCCCCUAGGGUUGAGUGGGUGGUUGGUUGAAUAGUAUAAUCUAAUGGUUGAAAAUGAUCCG
rnacentral:lncRNA from 1 species